AGUGAACGCUGGCGGUAGGCCUAACACAUGCAAGUCGAACGGCAGCACAGUAAGCUUUUGCUCUUAAGGGUGGCGAGUGGCGGACGGGUGAGGCAUACAUAGGCAUCUACUUUUUCGUGGGGGAUAACGUAGAGAAACUUACGCUAAUACCGCAUACGUCCUACGGGUGAAAGCAAUGGAUAUUCGCACCUUGCCCGACUGAUUUAGACGAUGUCGCAUUAGCUAGUUGGGUAGGUAAAGGCCCACCAAGGCGACGAUGCGUAGCUGGUCUGAGAGGAUGAUCAGCCACACUGGAACUGAGACACGGUCCAGACUCCUACGGGAGGCAGCAGUGGGGAAUAUUCGACAAUGGGCGCAAGCCUGAUCCAGCCAUGCCGCGUGGGUGAAGAAGGCCUUCGGGUCGUAAAGCCCUGUUGUUGGGGAAGAAAAGCUGUAGGUGAAUACCUCGCUGUUCUGACGGUACCCAAAGAAUAAGCACCGGCUAACUUCGUG
rnacentral:rRNA from 1 species